CCCUUAGAUGUUCUGGGCCGCACGCGCGCUACACUGAUGAAUUCAACGAGCUCCUAACCUAGGCCGAAGGGUCCGGGUAAUCUUUGAAAUUUCAUCGUGAUGGGGAUAGAUUAUUGCAAUUAUUAAUCUUCAACGAGGAAUUCCUAGUAAGCGCGAGUCAUCAGCUCGCGUUGAUUACGUCCCUGCCCUUUGUACACACCGCCCGUCACUCCUACCGAUUGAAUGGUCCGGUGAAAUGUUCGGACCGCGACAAGGCGGACGGUUCGCUGUCAGCUUUGCUGCGGGAAGUUCAUUAAACCUUAUCAUUUAGAGGAAGGAGAAGUCGUANCA
rnacentral:rRNA from 1 species